CUGUGAAAACUAUUUAGUUCCAAAAGAUUAUUUUUAUUGAAACCCACCAUCUCAGGUAACAACUUUUGUUGUCACGUCAUCUUCUCCAAUCCAUUGAUCAAACGCAGCAGAGCCAUGGCCACUAAAUUUCCAUCUCUCCAAACCCCAAAAACCCUCUUUGCUUCCGUUGACAUGGGCACGAAUUGUUUCAAGCUUCUCAUUAUUCGAGCUUAUCCCAGCGGGAAGUUCUUAAUUUUGGACCGUGUUAAAGAACCUGUGACUCUUGGUCGCGACUUCACAUCAUCUUUGUCUUUGCACAUCUCCAGUGAGUCAUUGUCUCGCUCAGUUGAAUCUUUACUUAAGUUUAGAAAGUUGAUUGAAUCUUACAACGUGGAGAAGGAUCAAACACGUGUUGUUGCAACUGCAGCUGCACGUGAAGCUAAAAAUAAGGAACAGUUUGUUAAGAGUGUUGAGGAGAAUGCUGGGUUUGAAAUUGAUGUGUUGAGUGGUGAAGAGGAAGCUGAGUUUGUGUAUCUGGGUAUGCUACAGUUUUUGCCGGUUUAUCAUAAAUUAGUUUUGGGGGUUGAUAUUGGAGGUGGGUCCACUGAGUUUGUUGCUGGGAAGAGAGGGAAGAUUGUGUUUUGUGAGUCAUUGAGGCUGGGGCAUGUGGGGUUGAGUGAAAAGUUUGGAACUUGUGAGAGUGAAAUUGUGAAAAUGAGGGAGUUUAUUAGGAUGGUUGUGAAAGAAAGUGGGUUGGUUGAGAGAGUGAGGCAGAGUGGUUUUGAGGUGGCUGUUGGUUGUUCCGGUACUAUUAGGGCUAUUGAGAAGGCGGUUUUUAAUGGUUAUGAUCAGAAGUUUGUGGAUAAUGUGGGGGUUUUGCGGGACUGUAAGAGGGAUUGGAGACUAAGUAGAGAGGGAUUGAAGAGUGUAGUUGAUAGGUUGUGUUCUGGAGGAGGAGAAGGAGAGAGGGUUAGGAAAGAGAGGUUUUUUAAGAGGAGAUCGGAGUUUAUUGUUGCAGGUGCGGUGUUGUUAGAUGAGAUUUUUGAGUUGCUUGGGAUCAAAGAAAUGGAGGUUUCUGGCUAUGGAUUGGCAGAGGGUGUUAUUGCUGAUAGCUUGUCUAAGAUCUUUGAUGGAUAUGAUUUGAAUGCAAAUGCUAGGUGGCAUUCAGUGAUUCAACUUGCAAUGAGGUUUAGUGGUACAAAGAAGAUGAGAUAUGCUGCACAAUGUGCUAGCAUUGCAAAGGAUAUUUUUGAAGGUUUAAGAAAAUGUGAUGAGCUUGCCAACAGUCAAGUUAAAUUUGGUGUCUCCUUGGAUAACAAAGAUCUUGAAUAUCUUGAAGCUGCAUCUUUGCUUCACAGUAUGGGACUCUUCAUCAGUAAAAAGGGCUAUCACAAGAAGUCUUGUGAAAUCAUUAUGAAUGGUGAUCAUCUUUAUGGAUACAGUACUGAGGAAAUCAAGUUAAUUGCACUGCUUACUAGAUAUCACCGAAAGAAAUUUCCCAAAUUUAGUCAUUCUCCUUUAAAGGAGUUUUCUGGAGAGGUAAAGCAGAAAUUCAAAAUGCUUUGUGCAAUACUGCGCAUAUCUGUUAUAUUACAGCAGAAUGAAUCUGUGAAUCUACAGGAGUUGGAAGUUUUUUGUUCUCAUGAAGGUUUUAAGCUGGUAAUCCAGGAAGCAAGGGGUCAACCUUCUUUCCAUGGUAUAUCACAGCCCACGGCAGAGGACAUUGAGGCACAACUAAGGCAAGAGUUAAAAUACUUUAAAAAGGUGUUCAAGCAAGAAUUGUUGAUUAUAAUUCCACCGUCUAGUUCAAUUGACUCUAAAGAUAAAGUUACUUCUAAAAGAGAUGUCGAUCACUUGUAAACAAUUAUAGGUCAUACUAGAUUCUAUAAUCUCUGCAUGAUUAAUAGCCUUAGCGAGGAGUUGCAACCGAUGUAUAGUUUUACUCUGAUUCGAAGUGGGUUGGAGUCCUUUUCUGGCCAACACGUAAGGAAGCAUAUUGUCAUCACCUCUCACACUUAGUUCCUUGUCUUCUUUGAAUCAAGAAAACUUGCAGAAAUACAGAACUAGAAGGAGCAGCGCUUUCAGGUAGCUGAUUUCUAUACAGAACUUGAAGAAACAGAGCCUUUCAAAAGGAGGGUGGUGCUGGUCCAGGCUAUAUUCCAUAUGUGAAAGAUGCAGGGUGGUAACAUUCUUGGUUGGGUUUUUCGGAUUCGAAGUAUCAACAUCAUUGUUGUUACAUGCAACUAUAUUAUAAUAACUAUAGUAUAUAAAAUAGUCUAUAAUAUUACCAUCUCCCUGCUAGGACAGGAACACUUGUCCCAUUUUUAGAGUUUAGAUUUUAUUAUAUAGAGGGAUAGUUAGGGUUAUCAAGGGGAUAAUGAAGAAAAAUUAGGGAUUUUUGGACAACCUUAGGAUUGUGGACAGCCUUAGGGCUAAUGGGAGGUCUCCAUCAAAUUGUCUAGUUUAUCCAUGUAAAUACCCUUUUCUGAAUAAAAUAAUUUAUGGUUUCUCUAUUA